rnacentral:sRNA from 1 species
AUAGAAACAGAGAGAGCAUCCAAGGUCAACACUGCUGGGAACUCUGCUGCCUGGGAUUCUAGGGCAGCCGGGACAUCAGCCUUGACAGGGACUGCUCAGGACCCCACAGAUCUGCCUUCAGCAGGAACCCUGUGGGCUUAGUGGCCCUGGCACCUCCUCUUGGCGACCCUAUACACCAAUCCUACAGCUCUGGUGGGAAUUCUCACUGCAUGAGCUAUGACUAGAGUCCAGCUCAGUCUUGAUUCUCCCUACAAGACCCCAUCAUGGCUCGCCCACUGAAGGCCCUGAAUAGAGGCUACCCUACUGUACUUCAGCACAGGCCAUUAAAAAGGCUACUGAAAGACUUGAUGGAAGCUACGGGAAGGUUCUGAGACAAGAUGGAUAUUGUCUGGCUACACUGUUGCAACUAGUAUCCAAGACGUGAAAAGCCAACAGUGUGGCCAGGGAGAGACGAGAAACAGAAGACAGCAGUAUGGUUUGGAUCCAAAAUGUCCCACAGACUAUGGUUUGGAUCCUUUUCCUCCUGGGUUUUUGGAGGUCAUAGAAACUUUCAUAGGUAGGGGAGGGCCUUCAAAGGUGAUUGGUACCUGCCCUGUUUGGCAUGGCUCUGUACUUUGCUUUCUGGCCUGUCGUCUUGAGAAGCCAAACACUUCCGCACCCUGUCACGUCAAUACCCCCACCCCCACUCCAACUCCCAGCUACUACAGGCAGAGCCUCUCUGCCUUCCUGGCUCAACCCAAGACCAAUAUCAUAAAACAAGACAAAUCCUUUCUCAAAUUGUUUUCUAGUCAGACACAGUCAAAGUAAGGUCAAAGGUGGAGUUCGGGAUGAAACCAUCAGAUGGUAGGGUAUGCGCAGAGGGUGGAUCCUGGUUCCAUAUCAUUCCAGAGUCCACCUCGAUCCCAGGAAGCCAGCUCCCCUUUCCCGUGGGGGUGGAUUCUGCCCUCCAGAGCUUUCUCUGUCCUGAGUUUUAAGUUCCUCAGCUGACUCAAGUGCCCACAGGACUGGCCCUGCCUCUUUCCUGGGCUCUGUAUUCUGCUUCUCUGUCCUCGUAGGGAAAGAUCUACACCAUGGUCAGCUCUGAGUCAGUACUUCCAAGGACUCCUCUCUACCUGGCAUACUCCCAACCUGAUCGUCCUCAUCCAGUUAUUAAGGGGUUUUUCUUCCCCUUGCUAUCCACGGAACAACUCAAUUCUCCCCACCUCGAGGAGCAGCCCCUGGCUUCUACUCACCACCGAGGCACCCUGUUUCAUUUUCACAUAAACAUCUGUCUCCCUGUCUGUGAGGAGACUGCACCACCCCCCGAAAGAAAGAAGCAACAUAAACCAGGGAUGUCGCUGGCAGCUUCUCGGCUUCCCCGGCUUCUGGAACAUGGCCCAGGUACAGGAACCAGAAAUGUAAAUAUUUGUCGAAUAAAACGCACGGAGAAAGAGGCCACUUCUCCAGGGAAGUCCACGGGAGCAGAAAGGCCUCACGAAGUGUGUGUGUGUCUGCCAAUACGCCAUUUCCUUGACAGCCGAGACCAGGAAGCCGGUAGAGGAAGACUGCUGUGUUGGCUGUUUUCCUAAGAUUUAAACAGGUUCACGGCCCAAGAGCACGUUCGUCAUGUGAGGAUUCACCAGCACUGGCUAAAGCAUCCCUCUGCGGGACGGAACGGAGCUUCUCGGCCACAGCACAGCUGUCACUGACGGAUAAUACAGGAAAAAUCAAGGCCAGAUCCCUAAGCCACGUCUAAGAUGGGGGUGUCCAUGUACCACCAAUUCAUUUAACUCUACCUGCAUUGUUCUCCCUCGGGGCUUUCUGCAGCCCCUCCCCCACCCCAUCACUCCUUUCUCCUAGACUCUGACCUGUAGAGGCUUCUUCCUACAAAUGGUCUCUGGGAAAAGGUAACUAGCCAUCCCCUCCUUGUCUUGUAAAGCUGAGGUCACUGUUGCAAGGCUGACCUUAAAAGGCAGAGUUAUCCCAAGACACCCCUGUCCCCAAUUACUCUUCUUUACAUAUAUAGAAAGUGACACCUUCUCACAGCCCUGUGCUUGCCCGCACCUGGAUCUUUUAUACUGUCAAGCUUGGUGCCUCCCUCAUCCCCACAGGGCCACGGGAGAGCUAACCAGCUAUUUGUCUGAAAUCUUGACCAUGAACUCUGCAGCCGGCCCGCGGCUCAGUGCCCCCAGCAUGCAGUUCAGCAGAGCUGUCUGCAAGCUGCUCACCCUUCAUUCCUGCACAGAACCCUGUCAUGGCCGUGGAUGUGAGCCGUUCAAGAUCACAGGCUGGGUCCUGCUCUGACUGGCAGGCUGGACGUGAGCCACGGGCAAGUCAGCCUGUCUGGGUCACAGCCCACAUAGUCAAUCAUCCAGCCGCCAGGUGGUAGGCCGUGAUCCCACCACCUCUGUCUCUGAGUAGCAAGAUAUCAGACGAGGUUAGUUCCAGCCCAGUUAUUCAAGCUAGGCUCCAUGAGAAAGGUUCAUGGUUCAAGAGGGUCCUGCGGUUCUCCAUCCAAAAGUCCCAGCUUCCUGACAUCCAAGAUGCUGUGCACCAUCCCAGCAUGAGGCAUCCAGGAUGCUGAACACUGUACACAGUGUCUCAGGUAAGGGGAGGGCUGUGUGCAACCCCAGCAUCUCAUGUUAUUUUUAGUGUUGAGCAAAACUCCAGCACUCCAGGCGUCAGCAGUGAAGAGUGGUACCCCAGAAUCUCAGAUGUCUCUAAUGCUUAGUGCUGACCCAGCACCUGAGCAUCUAUGCAUUCAGUGAUGCUGAAGAAUCUCAGGUAUCUGUGAUGAUGUGUGGUGCCCUAGCAUCUCCAGCAUCUAUGGUGACACAUACCCUGUGGGACCCCCCCCCCUCAGUGUUUGCCCCCUGCUGAGCCUUGCUGAUGCAUGUGGAAGCUUUUGUUCUUAACAAAGGAACAUCUAGGACCUUUCUGUUUGGCACCUGGGCAGUGGCACCUGGGAGGUGGCACCUGGGAGCUAACACCUGGGUGGUAACACCAUUAAGUCAGUUCCUGUUUUUCCAUUCCUGUUUUUCUCCUGAGGGCAUGAACUUGUUUUUCCGCUGUGCUUCCUGGAAAUCUCCACCUGGUGAACUUGGGGUAUUU